AAGCUCUUAGUAUAAGGAUUGUAUUUCUAAUUGCAAAUUAGAGGGUUUUGAGUUUU
rnacentral:tRNA from 1 species